GGCAUGGUUCAGUGGUAGAGCAUUUGCUUUGCAUGCAGAUGGUCCCAGGUUCAAACCCUGGCAUCUCCA
rnacentral:tRNA from 1 species